rnacentral:rRNA from 1 species
GAACGCUGGCGGCGUGCCUAAUACAUGCAAGUCGAACGCACAGCGAAAGGUGCUUGCACCUUUCAAGUGAGUGGCGAACGGGUGAGUAACACGUGGACAACCUGCCUCAAGGCUGGGGAUAACAUUUGGAAACAGAUGCUAAUACCGAAUAAAACUUAGUGUCGCAUGACACAAAGUUAAAAGGCGCUUCGGCGUCACCUAGAGAUGGAUCCGCGGUGCAUUAGUUAGUUGGUGGGGUAAAGGCCUACCAAGACAAUGAUGCAUAGCCGAGUUGAGAGACUGAUCGGCCACAUUGGGACUGAGACACGGCCCAAACUCCUACGGGAGGCUGCAGUAGGGAAUCUUCCACAAUGGGCGAAAGCCUGAUGGAGCAACGCCGCGUGUGUGAUGAAGGCUUUCGGGUCGUAAAGCACUGUUGUAUGGGAAGAACAGCUAGAAUAGGAAAUGAUUUUAGUUUGACGGUACCAUACCAGAAAGGGACGGCUAAAUACGUGCCAGCAGCCGCGGUAAUACGUAUGUCCCGAGCGUUAUCCGGAUUUAUUGGGCGUAAAGCGAGCGCAGACGGUUUAUUAAGUCUGAUGUGAAAGCCCGGAGCUCAACUCCGGAAUGGCAUUGGAAACUGGUUAACUUGAGUGCAGUAGAGGUAAGUGGAACUCCAUGUGUAGCGGUGGAAUGCGUAGAUAUAUGGAAGAACACCAGUGGCGAAGGCGGCUUACUGGACUGCAACUGACGUUGAGGCUCGAAAGUGUGGGUAGCAAACAGGAUUAGAUACCCUGGUAGUCCACACCGUAAACGAUGAACACUAGGUGUUAGGAGGUUUCCGCCUCUUAGUGCCGAAGCUAACGCAUUAAGUGUUCCGCCUGGGGAGUACGACCGCAAGGUUGAAACUCAAAGGAAUUGACGGGGACCCGCACAAGCGGUGGAGCAUGUGGUUUAAUUCGAAGCAACGCGAAGAACCUUACCAGGUCUUGACAUCCUUUGAAGCUUUUAGAGAUAGAAGUGUUCUCUUCGGAGACAAAGUGACAGGUGGUGCAUGGUCGUCGUCAGCUCGUGUCGUGAGAUGUUGGGUUAAGUCCCGCAACGAGCGCAACCCUUAUUGUUAGUUGCCAGCAUUCAGAUGGGCACUCUAGCGAGACUGCCGGUGACAAACCGGAGGAAGGCGGGGACGACGUCAGAUCAUCAUGCCCCUUAUGACCUGGGCUACACACGUGCUACAAUGGCGUAUACAACGAGUUGCCAACCCGCGAGGGUGAGCUAAUCUCUUAAAGUACGUCUCAGUUCGGAUUGUAGUCUGCAACUCGACUACAUGAAGUCGGAAUCGCUAGUAAUCGCGGAUCAGCACGCCGCGGUGAAUACGUUCCCGGGUCUUGUACACACCGCCCGUCACACCAUGGGAGUUUGUAAUGCCCAAAGCCGGUGGCCUAACCUUUUAGGAAGGAGCCGUCUAAGGCAGGACAGAUGACUGGG